rnacentral:lncRNA from 1 species
AAGAACUGAUUUGAUGAGGCUGCCAUUCACUCCGUCGGGCUGCGUGUGGGAUUCAUCAGGACCCAGCCUCGAUCUCUUUCACCCCCAUCAAUGUGUCCUAAGGAUUUUUCUUUAAACCUGAUUGCUUGGAAGGCAUUACCCAAGUGACCACCUGGUAAUUACUUCAACAGCAGAGCGACUCAUACAGCCAGCAAUCCACUUUGUUGUGAUCUGUAGAUCCUGCCUGUGGUGUUGGAUCUAACAGCUUCUUCCCUGACCCAAGAUUAUGAAGGAUUUCUCCUGUGUUCUCUUCUAAAAAUUUUACAUUUAGGUAUAUAAUCCAUUUUGAGCUAAUUCUUUUAAAUAGUGCAAAGUAUGGAUUGAAGUUCUUUUUUUUUUUUUUGCAGAUACAUAUUUAAUUUUUCCAGCACCAUUUGUUGAAAAGACUAAUGUUCUUGCCUGAAUAGCCUU